AAUCAAAAUAUGCUCUAUCAUUUUUGUAAAUAUAAUUUUUUGCGCAACUCGGUAGAAUUGCAUAUGGCGCCGUGCACUUGUAGCAGCUGACAAGCAUCCUAGUGUGUGUUUCCAUAGUACACAAGCACGCAUGCGACUUGCACGAAGUCGUCACCUCGGGAAUGCUCGGCAAACUUCGUGAAACGGCCUCUUUGUUACAUCAUUCUUUAGCUCUUAUAUAGUACAUAGGGGCGGGUACAUUAUAUACUACGUUUGCACAUAUUUCCCUCCCAGCUCUCGCUCGCGUAUAUACAGUAUAUAGUUGCCUUUGCAUAUAUGUGCCGGCGGAGCAAACGGGCGGGCGGUCGGAGGAGUGAGCUGGGCUCCGCGUUACACGAGGCGUAGAAAUGUGACUCAACUUGAACGGACGCUAGAAUGUUGACAGGUAGUCGUAUUGAGGAACCACGUUUCGCCGGGUCUGCACGAGGCGCAGCUCGUAGAAAACAGAAAGCACGAUGUGUACCUUCUAGGCACUGGGCACUGGUAUAACAUAGCGAGGGUAACGUGAUUGGACGUGGUAGGAAAUCAAGUGAGGAAACAACGAAAGAUAAAAAGGGAUAGAAAGAGAACCUAACGAAAGAGGAAUACAGAUAAUAGGAAGAGAAAAAGAGAUGGAGUAUAUAGAAGAGAGGGGGAAAUGAUACGCGCGAGUCUGCUGUCGCCGCCACCGCGACCGCCGCCGCCACCCAUAACCUCAAAACUUACCUCUGUUGACUCGGGCUUCGACGAUUUGUACGUCUUCGUCGACACUCCUGUCGGUCAUCUUCUUCUUCUUCUUCUCGUUAACCUGAAUGUCCAUGCACAUAAUUCCACAACACAAAACAACACUUCCGCCACACGGUCACGCUACCCCUACGUUCCCGUGACAUUUACAUUAAACUGUAUGUGCGCGCGCGCAAAAUUCACACUUACGGGGGAAAGCGAAAGGGUCGUCGCACGAGGGCGCCGCGAAAUGCGCCUUGCGUUAGAAAUCUAUUUCGUGUCUAUACUU